rfam:Myotis lucifugus cont2.58521, whole genome shotgun sequence.
GGCGGUUCUCGGGUGACACACCCCGGAAUCAGGGCUCCCUCUUCUCUGGUUCCUGGUGCGUCACCCAAGAACCACU